AGGAUGCAUCUCUCCAGAGCCAUUCAUCGGCACCCUCUCCACCAGGGUCACUGCAUGGGCCUCAGCCUGAGCCAGAGAGCUCUAGCCAGAGUGAUGCUGAGCUAAACAUAUACAGACUCUCAUCAAUUCUAGCUACCUUGUCAGCAGUUUUAUUUUUCAGUAAGUAGUACUGUAUAUUUGACAUUACAGGCCACUGGAGAUUUGGCAUCACCUCUCCAGUCUCCACCACUGACACCCUCUCCUCUCCCGAGCCUCAAGUACACCCACCUUCCUCCACCCAGAGUGCUCCUGAGUAACUACUUUGCAUUGCGCCAGGCUUUCACUAUUGUUCUGAGCAACAGCCAUCACGCGAAAUAUGCCGUCAUAGCAGGCAGGGCCCUCCUUGGUGGACUGGCUGACCAAAAUGCUAGGGAUCUUGAGGUGUUCCAUGAGGCAUAUGGUCACCUGGUAGUCUUUGCUGUGGAUGUUUCACAUCGUGAAGCUAUUUGCUCUGAGCUGGCGCAGAUUGGGAUCCAGCACUUCAUCUUCAUGGACGUUGUCUAUGAGUUGGUGCUGAUGGGAGUGCUGCAGGGAGCGAGGCCUCUGAUCUGUCCAACACCAGGGGGUUCCUUGGGUACCUGAUGGAGAUGAUUUUUGUCUUUCAGUCCUGUCAGACCCAGGGCUGAACAGUACUUGUUCCUGCUCCAGGAUGAGGCAAUGCUCCCGUUGAAGGACAUCUUUCGUGAGAAGGAACAUGUUUAUAUGGACUCUGGAUCCCUGGCCCUCGCUCUGUGGGACUGUCUGGAGAAACGUGUCCAUUGGCUGUCGGCAUUUAACAUCUAUGCCUUCCUUCACAAACACCAUUUUUAGUUUAAAUUUUAUAUUUUCAUCAGUGUAAUAUUUGUAAAUUUCUG